GAUUCCGUAGGUGAACCUGCGGAAGGAUCAUUAUUGGAUUUUGAAACUUCAGGCUGCUGCUGGCUCUCCUCGGAGGGCAUGUGCACGCUUGUUGUCCAUUAUUUCUCCCACUGUGCACAAAUUGUAGACCUUUCAGUAGGCCUAUGUUGUUUUUCACAAUCUCUGAAUGUAAUAGAAUGGUUUUGAAUCUUGGGAAAUACAAUACAACUUUCAGCAACGGAUCUCUUGGCUCUC
rnacentral:misc_RNA from 1 species